rnacentral:lncRNA from 1 species
AUAUAUUAACAUCUAAUAGAGAAAUAGGAGAACAAGCUGUCCAUCUUUGAGGAAUUACAAUCACUAACAAUAACAAUGGUAAAGAAUCACUAAAACUCAUUGGAUAGUUGCUAGAAGUUCAUUAUGUGGCUUAUAUUAGUGCAAUUCCUUACGACCACCUUAUGAGGGAUGAAAACUGAGAAAGGAGAAAUGCACACAGGCUAGGAGAGAGAGCAGAAAACUGCCACAGGAUUCCCAAGAAGCCUAAAGAGAUGAGACAGAGCCAGCAAGAUGAUCCUGAAGAAUGAAGAUAGAACUUGAUGGUAAAAAGACAAACCCAUAAGAAUAUAUGCAAGAGGAUGCAAAUUUGUGAAGAAAAUAAAUCUCCAUGUAUAAAUGAUGCUACGGGAUUGAAGAUGUCUUCAAUAGGAAUUCAAUUAACCUGGACAGAGAAGAGUUCCCUUGUAGUAUAUUAAAUUGAAUACCUGAUUCCAGGUAGGUUAGUGCUGAUGCUGCCCUUAGGCAUGAUCACAUCACAGCCAGCUAUGAGGAAGAACUCCAUAAAGGACAGUGCUGACAAAAACAACAGGCUUCCUAUCUGAUGGGCCAACACAAAAGUAGAGUUUAUGGCUACAUAUUUCAAAACUUGAUCAGUGGGAAAUCCUGAGUCUUGGCACAAAUAUAAACAUGGGCCAUAAAUUAGCCAUAAAAAGGGCACCGCACUGUUCAGGAUUUGGGGCCCUGUCUAAAUUUACAAGCUGUUUGCAGAGCCUCUGAAACUAAUGGAUGAAUAAAAUAUUCCAGCCAACAAGGAAAGUAAGUAUU